rnacentral:sRNA from 1 species
AUCGCGGCGACGGGGCGGUUCGCCGCUGCGACGUCACGAGAAGUCCACUGAACCUUAUCAUUUAGAGGAAGGAGAAGUCGUAACAAGGUUUCCGUAGGUGAACCUGCGGAAGGAUCAUUGUCGAUGACGAACGAACCAACAACACCGGCGCGGCAUGCGUCAAGUAAUAACAAACCGAAUAGGCUCUCCCCCCUGUCGUGUCCCUCAAGGGUGCGGCUUGGGGGUGUUGCCACUUAUUCCAAUCGAACCACUAGGCUGACCGGCGAACUUGUGAUAUUGUUCCUUGAGGGGUGACGGCCUAUCCUUGCGGUACCGAAAACCCCUCCCCUCUCGUUGCUCUACCUUGUUUGACACGCUUUGGUCUCGUGCCAUGCGUUGAUCCUUGGGUGCAACACGAGGUAGAUGACUCUCGGCAACGGAUAUCUAGGCUCUUGCCACGAUGAAGAACGUAGCGAAAUGCGAUACUUGGUGUGAAUUGCAGAAUCCCGUGAACCAUCGAGUUUUUGAACGCAAGUUGCGCCCGAGGCCACCUGGCCAAGGGCACGCCUGCCUGGGCGUCACGCUUCGCGUCGCUCCCUCCCUCCCAUUCUCCUCUUUGGGCGUAUGGUGUUUGCGAGGAGCGAUAUUGGCUGCCCGUGCUGUGUUUGCGCGGUCGGCUGAAAGACGGGCCCCUGGUGUGUUGUGACACGACGAGUGGUGGUCAAAUGCCCUUCUCACCGCGUGGGACGUCGAGUUGCAUUCCUUGUGGCUCUUGGGACUCUCGGAGCCGCUUCGCGGCAACCUGCAUCGCGACCCCAGGUCAGGCGGGGCCACCCGCUGAGUUUAAGCAUAUCAAUAAACGCAGGAGAAGAAACUUAC